rnacentral:rRNA from 1 species
GACGAACGCUGGCGGCGUGCUUAACACAUGCAAGUCGAACGGAAAGGCCCUGCUUUUGUGGGGUGCUCGAGUGGCGAACGGGUGAGUAACACGUGAGUAACCUGCCCUUGACUUUGGGAUAACUUCAGGAAACUGGGGCUAAUACCGGAUAGGAGCUCCUGCUGCAUGGUGGGGGUUGGAAAGUUUCGGCGGUUGGGGAUGGACUCGCGGCUUAUCAGCUUGUUGGUGGGGUAGUGGCUUACCAAGGUUUUGACGGGUAGCCGGCCUGAGAGGGUGAACGGCCACAUUGGGACUGAGAUAGGGCCCAGACUCCUACGGGAGGCAGCAGUGGGGAAUGUUGCACAGUAGGGGGGAGCGUGAUGCAGAGACGCCGCGUGCGGAAUGACGGCAUUCGGGUUGUGAACCGCUUUCGAAUGAGACGAGGCGUGAGUGACGGUAAUGGGUAAAGAAGCACCGGCUAACUACGUG